rnacentral:lncRNA from 1 species
CAUCUUCUAAUUAUUUUGAUGGGCAUAGAUGAUACAGAUUAAGUGAUUUUAUGUCAAUGCUUCUUGAUUUGUAUAUUUUAUAUUUGAAUCAAAAUAAAAUUCCUAUGCAUACAGUAAUUUUAGUAUACUUUGGAUGCAGCGUAUUUAAUUAGAGGGUUUCAUAGAAAUUAAUACAUCAUUGCUUAUUUAAAUUAUGCCUGGACCAAAUGAUAAUUAAUAAGUAGUGAUAGUUUUGCGAUGCCU